rnacentral:lncRNA from 1 species
CCAGGCUGUGCAGGGUUCCCGGUGUCCCCGAUUUCCCUCCCCUGGGGGCCUGACAGAAUUGCUGUGAAACCUGAGAUUGUGGGAAACUGCUGGAAUCCGUGAAGGGUCUGCAACGUUAGACGGUGGGCUUAGGAACCUGCAGACUUUGGCAGGGACCCCGUGGCACCACCUCCCCCAUCACUGUGCUGACUUCAGGGCCUGCAGGCACAGCCAGGUGCAGAGGAGAAGGGGCACAGUCAUCAUCCUCACCAAGGUGAUGGAUUCGCUGCAAGAUGAAAGGGCUGUGUGCAGCUUCACAUCUGUCCUUCUCUGGAAUUCAGGUCUCUUCACCGCCCCCCGAGGCCUCCUCCUGAGGUUUCCCUUUACCUGGUCCCCAAAUGGGUGGUCCCAGUCACCUCUGCUGUGGAGAUGCACCCUUGCUCACAUCGAGGACCCCAGGGAAGACUUUGACUGGAAUCUGAACGUUUAUUUUGGAAAGGCAGCCUCUUGGUGACUCCAGGUCACUUCAGAAGAGAGGCC